CUUGCUGGCGGAACAAUUGCUUUGUUUACCACAGCUUCCAGUUUUUUCAAUGUUAUUGUAGUUUUGUGAGCCCCGGAAGGUGUCCUAAUGCUUCAUGUGUAGCCCAACAAGUGCCCUAUAGCAAAGAUUCUUGAAGAUGUUAAAAUUUCACUGUUAUGGCUCCUAAAUAAGAACCGCUGCACUCAAGGGUGUUCAUAUCAACCCCUUUAACACUUCGACACAUUCUUACCCUCGGAUUUGUGUACGAUUAGACCGUUUUAUUCAAUAGGAAGGGUCUAUGGAGGUCCAGCUAGGCUCAUACUUAUAAACACUAACGAAGUUGCCGUCUUAACGGUAAGAAGUCGUCUUAAAUCACCAAAAUGGCGGAACUUGAGUCUUAAAUCCUUAAGACGGCAUCCUUAGCCCUAAGAAUGCGUCUUACUGCUAAAACACCACCUGAGGUAGACUAGCAGGCUGCGCGCUCCUAAGAUUUCAUCCUAAGAGUAAACAUGGCUGCUCAAGAGGAACCACACCGCCACCACCUACGAUAGAGACUGACGUUUUGUGAGAGAAAGGACGUCCUGAAUGAGCUUGAUGACCGUGAGCUGGUGAAGAGGUAUCGACUGGACGUGACAGACUUGGUGCGGGAAAGGCUGAAGAGACCAACUGCAAGGAACAAGGUCCUCUCCCCCAAAAAUGCAUCAUGCAUGUGAUCAUCACUCUGCGGUACCUUGCUACAGGGAAGAUGCAGCAGUGUAGCGCUGCUGAUGACUUGGGGCCCUCACAACAGACCAUCAGCAGGGUCAUCAGUCAUACAAUGACAAUGCCAUCCUCUCCCAAUUCAUAAGAUUUCCAGUCACCCAAAUGGAAAUUCAGAGGAGGAAGGAGGAGUUUCUUCAGAUUUCUGGCUUCCUUGAAGUGAUCGGUGGCAUUGAUGGGACGCACGUAAAGAUUGUAGCACCAAGAGAAUAUGAGGCAGAGUUUGUCAACAGAAAGAGAUACCACAGCAUCAACGUGCAGUUUGUGUUUGAUGCUCGGUAAAACAUUAUUGAUGUGGUUGCAAAGUGGCCGGGAUCGGUUCACGAUGCAAGAAUACUUGCUCAAAGUGGACUCUGCACGAUAUUUGACAACGGCAUCGUCCCAGCUGGGUGUCACUUACUGGGAGAUAGUGGCUAUCCCAGCAAGAAGUGGCUACUGACUCCAUACCUCAGACCACAGCCUGGAGCACAGUCUUCUUAUAACAGGGCCCACAAGAAAACCCGCAGCGUUGUUGAGAGGCAUCGGGCAGCUGAAGCGACAUUUUCACAUGCUACACAGUGAGAUCCGAGUUGGUCCUCCAUCCAAGGUCUGCCAAAUUGUAGAGGUUUGUGCACUGCUGCACAACAUCUGCAAAGCAAGAAACAUCAUUCUUCCUGAGGAAGAAGAACAUCUUGCUGCAGCCGAGGAUGGAGGCAACAAGGAGCGACCCCCAGUACAGGAAGUUCAACGUCGCCAUGAAGUAAUCCUUUACAGGGAUGAAUUUGUUGUGCUUCACUUCAACAUUGAUGAGUGAUGAGACACCAGUGUCAUGACUGCUGAGAUUGGUUUUAUUCUCUUGUGGAUGACCUCCUUCUCAUCCACUUAUACCAGUGAUGUACCAGGCAAGUCUGGUCCCUGUUGGUGCUGCAUCACUGGUGCUGGAAGUGGUGUGGCAGGUGCCUCCUCCUCCACACCCACUGCCUCAGUCACCACUUCUCUCUGCUGGUCUGCCUCUGCCACUUCCCCAGCAUCAUCUGCUGCCUCCACACUGCUGGCAUCAUAAGUUUUUACUUCAGAAACUAAGCUGAUAAUGCUUUUGGUUUUAUUGCUAAGGAUAAUAAUAACAGAAACCAGUAAAUCUAGCUAAUGGUG